rnacentral:lncRNA from 12 species
AUCCUGGCUUUUCAGUUGGUGUCUGUCGGUGAAGUCUGCUCUUCUGAGAGCACUCACAAUUGACUGGCUUUUAAUUGCUGGAAAGCAGGAGAAAAAACUUUGGGUCAUCUGGGUACACAGACUGGGAAUUCCAACAUGCCUCAGUAUCAGGCAAAAUGUAAGGGCUUCAAUUUGGCUCAUUCAGGAGAGAUGGACUAAGCAUGGAUUUUGUAGAACCUACAUUCUCCUUCAAGCUUACCUGUAAGAGGAACUGACAUUGGUUCAUGAGGUUGCUUUGCAAAAUGCCCAGGGAAGCACUCCGUCUGCACAAGGACUCCUGCCUGUCUCUCCUGUGGCCUGAGCCCCUGAGGCUUCUCCUGUACCACCUGAGGCACAGCCAGGAAGCUGGGACACCCCCGCCCCGAAUCCAGCCAGAAGACCCACAGCUCCCACAGGCAUUUUGAGGAUGUGGGACCUAGUAGAGACUCUGCCAAGGUGGCUAAAUGUUUGUGUUGCCAGCUGGUGGGGUAAAAAAAACUGUGAGAUCCACUAACACCAUAAUUUUUAAAACAUCAUGUUCUUCUAAAUUCUUGACUCCACCUCUUAUCUUUCCUGACUUAAAAAGAGCAAAAUAUAUACUAAUUGCUUCAAUUUCCAAACUUUUGGUUCAUUUCUUUAGAGUUUUGAGCCAAAAGCCCCUCUUUGUAAGUCUUAUUUUAACUCAUCAUCUUGAGUCUAACUAUAAAGCAAAGGAGACAUUAUAAAACAUUUUUUUCUGAAAUUAAUUCUGAAUAAAUUAUUUAGCUUGUUUGUACA